CACACAGACAGUCUCCGCGUUGCAAACGUGAAUGAGUACCAAUGGGGAUCACUAUGGACCGUGGCUCUGUCAUCUCAGCUGGCUGUAUCUAACCUAAAAUGUUAGAAAUAAAUGGAAUUGAGGGGGAAAUUAAAGUACAGGAGAAAACAAGCGCAUCCGCUAUCUGUACAGAACAUUUUUGUUAUUAAUAUCACGUGUGCUCAACCCACUGUCAAUAUUCCGGAUGUUAUCCGUCACUCGGAUCGCAAUGAACGUCUGCCUUGAAUCUGAAACCAAAUAAACACCCAGGGGUUCCUGUGUCUUAAGGAUAAUACAUUUACCACAACAGAGGAUUAUUGCGUUACGCUGGAAACCCGAUUAUUCACACAGGUGGACACAUCAAAUUAAAUUGCAUUAAAUGAGGACUCAUUAUAAGAACGGUGUGGGAAAAUCAGAUUUUGGCAACUCAUCGAUGACCUUUUUACCUACAGCAAUUUGAGUUUGGUUGCUAAGACACCAUGUAUCCGUAAGGGGAAAAAGAGCAUCUCCUCUGCUCCUUGCACCAACAACAUGUGCAGCCAAUG